UACGUAGGGGGCAAGCGUUGUCCGGAAUCAUUGGGCGUAAAGAGCGCGUAGGCGGUCCGGUAAGUCCGCUCUGAAAGUCCGGGGCUCAACCCCGGGAGGCGGGCGGAUACUGUCGGGCUAGAGUCCAGAAGAGGCGAGUGGAAUUCCUGGUGUAGCGGUGAAAUGCGCAGAUAUCAGGAGGAACACCAAUGGCGAAGGCAGCUCGCUGGGACGGUACUGACGCUGAGGCGCGAAAGCGUGGGGAGCAAACAGG
rnacentral:rRNA from 1 species